GCGGUUGUGGCGGAAUUGGCAUACGCACCAGGUUGAGAGCCUGGAGGUGGCUUACACCUUGUGGGUUCGAAUCCCACCGACCGCA
rnacentral:tRNA from 1 species